GGGUUGUGAGGUUAAGCGACUAAGCGUACACGGUGGAUGCCCUGGCAGUCAGAGGCGAUGAAGGGCGUGCUAAUCUGCGAUAAGCGCCGGUAAGGUGAUAUGAACCGUUAUAACCGGCGAUACCCGAAUGGGGAAACCCAGUGUGAUUCGUCACACUAUCAUUACGUGAAUACAUAGCGUAAUGAAGCGAACCGGGGGAACUGAAACAUCUAAGUACCCCGAGGAAAAGAAAUCAACCGAGAUUCCCCCAGUAGCGGCGAGCGAACGGGGAGGAGCCCAGAGCCUGAAUCAGCAUGUGUGUUAGUGGAAGCGUCUGGAAAGGCGCGCGAUACAGGGUGACAGCCCCGUACACAAAAGCGCAUGUGUUGUGAGCUCGAUGAGUAGGGCGGGACACGUGGUAUCCUGUCUGAAUAUGGGGGGACCAUCCUCCAAGGCUAAAUACUCCUGACUGACCGAUAGUGAACCAGUACCGUGAGGGAAAGGCGAAAAGAACCCCGGCGAGGGGAGUGAAAAAGAACCUGAAACCGUGUACGUACAAGCAGUGGGAGCACCCUUUGGGGUGUGACUGCGUACCUUUUGUAUAAUGGGUCAGCGACUUAUAUUCUGUAGCAAGGUUAACCGAAUAGGGGAGCCGGAGGGAAACCGAGUCUUAAUUGGGCGUUAAGUUGCAGGGUAUAGACCCGAAACCCGGUGAUCUAGCCAUGGGCAGGUUGAAGGUUGGGUAACACUAACUGGAGGACCGAACCGACUAAUGUUGAAAAAUUAGCGGAUGACCUGUGGCUGGGGGUGAAAGGCCAAUCAAACCGGGAGAUAGCUGGUUCUCCCCGAAAGCUAUUUAGGUAGCGCCUCGUGAAUUCAUCUCCGGGGGUAGAGCACUGUUUCGGCUAGGGGGCCAUCCCGGCUUACCAACCCGAUGCAAACUGCGAAUACCGGAGAAUGUUAUCACGGGAGACACACGGCGGGUGCUAACGUCCGUCGUGAAGAGGGAAACAACCCAGACCGCCAGCUAAGGUCCCAAAGUCAUAGUUAAGUGGGAAACGAUGUGGGAAGGCCCAGACAGCCAGGAUGUUGGCUUAGAAGCAGCCAUCAUUUAAAGAAAGCGUAAUAGCUCACUGGUCGAGUCGGCCUGCGCGGAAGAUGUAACGGGGCUAAACUAUGCACCGAAGCUGCGG
rnacentral:rRNA from 2 species